rnacentral:rRNA from 1 species
GACGAACGCUGGCGGCGUGCCUAAUACAUGCAAGUAGAACGCACAGUUUAUACCGUAGCUUGCUACACCAUAGACUGUGAGUUGCGAACGGGUGAGUAACGCGUAGGUAACCUGCCUGGUAGAGGGGGAUAACUAUUGUAAACGAUAGCUAAUACCGCAUAAUAUUGAUUAUUGCAUGAUAAUUAAUGGAAAGGUGCAAUUGCACCACUACCAGAUGGACCUGCGUUGUAUUAGCUAGUAGGUGAGGUAACGGCGCACCUAGGCGACGAUACAUAGCCGACCUGCGAGGGUGAGCGGCCACACUGUGACUGAGACACGGCCCCGUCCUCUCCGGGCGGCAGCAGUAGGCGAUCAUCGUCCAUGGACGAAAGUCUGACCGAGCACCGCCGCGUGAGUGAAGAAGGUUUUCGGCUCGUAAAGCUCUGUUGUAAGUGAAGAACGGGUGUGAGCGUGGAAAGUUCACACUGUGCCGGCAUCUUACCAGAAAGCGACGGCUAACUACGUG